rnacentral:tRNA from 1 species
AGAGAAAUGCCUGAUAAAAGGACUAUCUUGAUAGGAUGGCUAAUGUAAGAAAACCCUUACUUUCUCUU